rnacentral:rRNA from 1 species
GACAGAGGGGGCAAGCGUUGCUCGGAAUCACUGGGCGUAAAGGGCGCGUAGGCGGGAUGGCAAGUCAGUCGUGAAAUCUCUCGGCUCAACCGAGAAACGUCGGCUGAUACUGCCGUUCUUGAGGGAUGCAGAGGAGACUGGAAUUCCCGGUGUAGCGGUGAAGUGCGUAGAGAUCGGGAGGAACAUCAGUGGCGAAGGCGGCCAUCUGGGACAACACUGACGCUGAAGCACGAAAGCGUGGGGAGCAAACAGG